ACAUAUCAUCACUUGUUAUUUCCAAAAGAUGAGAAAAAGAGAGUAAGUGCAAAAUGCAGUUGGCCUGGCUGUCCUUGGAGUAUUUAUGGGUCCAUUACCAGCAGGUCUGAUUGGUUUCUAGUAUGGAGGUACAACAAUGAGCACACGUGCAUUCCAAGAAGGGACAACAAGCUGGUCACAUGCGGUGUCAUUGCAAAGAAGUAUUUUAGGCAAAUCAGGGACAAUCCAUCAUGGAAGGCAGAGCACAUUCAACAAGCUGUUCUUCAGGAUCUAGUGGCUGAUGUGUCCAUCUCCAAAUGCAAAAGAGCAAAGAAACUUGUUAUGGAGAAGAUAAUUGAUCUAUCAGAUGGUGAGUAUGCUCGGGUUUAUGAUUAUCAGCUUGAGUUGCUUAGAAGCAACCCCGGUAGCACUAUUGCAGUGACAUUAAAUCCAGAAAUUCUUCACAGCAAUGUGUUUGAAAGAAUGUACAUGUGUUUAGAUGGUUGCAAGAAAGGAUUUCUUGCGGGAUGUAGAAGAGUGGUGGGGCUAGAUGGAUGUUUUUUGAAGGGUGCAUUCAAGGGGCAGUUGCUUUGUGCAAUUGGCAGAGAUGCAAAUAACCAAAUGUAUCCAAUAGCUUGGGCUAUAGUAGAGGUCGAGAGCUACGAUUCCUGGUAUUGGUUCAUUGGGUUUCUUCAAAAAGAUCUACAGAUAAACAACAAUGGUGAAGGAUGGGUUUUCAUCUCUGAUCAACAAAAAGGUCUCAUCCGGGUAGUCAAUGAGCUUGUGCCCCAUGCAGAGCAUAGGAUGUGUGCAAGACACAUUUAUGCUAAUUGGAGAAAAGAACACAGAGACAAGGUCUUUCAAAAAAUGUUUUGGGCAUGUGCAAAGUCAUCAGAUAGAAGCCAAUUCAAUUACAACAGGGCUAAGCUUGCACAAAACACAGUACAAGGUGCGAGAGACAUGAUGAAAACUGCACCAGAGCAUUGGUGUCGGGCCUACUUCAGGAUUGGCUCUUUCUAUGACUCAGUUGAGAACAACAUGUGUGAGUCAUUUAAUAAUGCCAUCAUGAGAUCAAGGUUUUACCCUGUAGUAACGGCAACGGAAAUCAUUAGAAAGAAGGUCACUGUGAGGAUCCAACAAAACAGAGCAAAGUCUCAGAAGUGGCAUGGAACCAUUUGUCCAAAUAUUUUU
rnacentral:rRNA from 1 species